rnacentral:rRNA from 1 species
AUGAACGCUGGCGGCAUGGAUUAGGCAUGCAAGUCGAACGGUGAUGGCCCCGCAAGGGGCCUGAUCAGUGGCGAAAGGGUGAGCAACACGUGAGGAACCUGCCCUUGAGUCCGGAAUAGCCCCGGGAAACCGGGAUUAAUGCCGGAUGUGGUUGGAGGCCGAAUGGUCUCCGGACUGAAGGCGCAAGCCGCUCAGGGAUGGCCUCGCGUCCGAUCAGCUGGUUGGUGAGGUAACGGCCCACCAAGGCUGAGACCGGUAGGUGGUCUGAGAGGAUGGUCACCCACACUGGGACUGAGACACUGCCCAGACUCCUACGGGAGGCUGCAGUCGAGAAUCUUCCGCAAUGGGCGAAAGCCUGACGGAGCGAUGCCGCGUGAGGGAUGAAGGCCUUCGGGUUGUAAACCUCUGUCGCCCGGGACGAAACCAUGACGGUACCGGGAGAGGAAGCUACGGCUAACUACGU